rnacentral:rRNA from 1 species
UACGGGGGGGGCAAGCGUUGUUCGGAAUUACUGGGCGUAAAGGGCGCGUAGGCGGUGCUCUAAGUCGGAUGUGAAAACUCUGGGCUCAACCCAGAGCCUGCAUCCGAAACUGGAGUGCUAGAGUUCUGGAGGGGGUAGCGGAAUUCCUGGUGUAGCGGUGAAAUGCGUAGAUAUCCGGAGGAACACCGGUGGCGAAGGCGGCUUCCUGGACCGACACUGACGCUGAGGCGCGAAAGCUAGGGGAGCAAACGGG